AAUAAUUAUGUAAACAUAAGAAACAUAAAUACAAUCGCAUGCAAUAAUAACAACAGUAACUACCAUACUAACAACCAUAACGGGGGCAUAAGCUAAAACACAAAUCAUCUAUGGAUAACCCUGCUGUCCCACACCCAACCCCGGGAAAGGCGUACGAAGCACUCUAUGAGCCCCUAGCCUACAACACUGAUUCUAGACCUCC
rnacentral:lncRNA from 1 species